rnacentral:rRNA from 1 species
AACGAACGCUGGCGGCAUGCCUCAUACAUGCAAGUCGAACGAAGGCUUCGGCCUUAGUGGCGCACGGGUGAGUAGCGCGUGGGAACCUGCCCUGGAGUGGGGGAUAACCGAGGGAAACUUCGGCUAAUACCGCAUGCGCCCGGUAGCAAUACCGGGGAAAGAUUUAUCGCUCUAGGAGGGGCCCGCGUCGGAUUAGCUAGUUGGUGGGGUAACGGCCUACCAAGGCGACGAUCCGUAGCUGGUCUGAGAGGAUGAUCAGCCACACUGGGA